rnacentral:lncRNA from 1 species
GUAGGAUUUCCAGUACAAUGUUGAAAAGAAACUGUGAAAUCAGCAUCUCAUCUUUUUUUCUGAUAAUUGGGAAAAAGCUUCUGACCUUUCACCAUUAGGAAAUGAAAAACAAUGGCAAAGUUACAUGAAUUUUGAAGCAUAAACAUAUUGCAAAAUUGAAAGAAAACAGAAUAUUCUAGAAUAAUGGCUUGGAAAUGAUCCUUGGUUCAGAGGGAAAGAAAGAAAGGAGUUGCAAUGCGUGAAGAAAUGCCAGCAGAGGCUGAUGCAUUGUCUUGGAGAGAUGGAGAGUGGAAUUUGUCAGGAUGUCUCUUGUACUAAUGCGGAAAAGUGCUGCAUGCAACACACGUGGAGAUUCAGUGACAAGAGAUUUAGACCAGUGUGUUCCUAACCAUCAGGUAACGUAUUUCCCUC